AAAAAUGCUUUGAAAAGAAGAGUACAAAUUGAGAAAUUUAAAGAGAGCUUCGUUUGGUGGGAAGAAGUAAGGAAUCGAUUUGGAAGAUGGUCUUUGAGCAAACAAGUGUGAGAAGCAGUUGUCGGGUGAGCCCGUUAUAGCUCCUCAGUAUGUUGGUACUGGUAGAGGCUAUUUGCUGUGAAGCACUAGCGAAAAAAGGUGGUAACACGCAAUCAAAACGCGUCCUUUCU
rnacentral:ncRNA from 1 species